GUACUUGCUUAGGCAGCACAUAUACUAAAUUGUAACGAUACAGGGAAUAUUAGCAUGGCCCCUGUGCAAGGACAAUAUGCAAAUGUGUGAAGUGUUCCAUAUUUUU